UACGUAGGGUGCGAGCGUUAAUCGGAAUUACUGGGCGUAAAGCGUGCGCAGGCGGCGCGUUAAGUCAGGCGUGAAAGCCCCGGGCUCAACCUGGGAACCGCGCUUGAGACUGGCACGCUAGAGUUCGGGAGAGGAUGGUGGAAUUCCCAGUGUAGAGGUGAAAUUCGUAGAUAUUGGGAAGAACACCGAUGGCGAAGGCAGCCAUCUGGACCGACACUGACGCUGAGGCGCGAAAGCGUGGGGAGCAAACAGG
rnacentral:rRNA from 1 species